rnacentral:rRNA from 1 species
UUAAUUUUAGAAAUAUGUAUUAUAUCCUGAGUAGGUUCAGACACGAGAAAUCUGGAUUGAAACAGGGGAGACCACUCUCCAAGGCUAAAAAGUAUUCGAGAUCGAUAGCGAACAAGUACCAUGAGGGAAAGGUGAAAAGAACCCCGGAAGGGGAGUGAAAUAGAACCUGAAAUUUUAUGCUGAUAAAGAGAUGGAGCCUACGGGUGACAUCGUACUUUUUGUAGAACGGACCAACGAGUUAGUGUAUUUGGCAAGGUUAAGGGAGUAUAACCCGAAGCCGAAGUGAAAGCGAGCCUGAAGAGGGCAUAAGUCAAGUAUACUAGACCCGAAACUGGGUGAGCUUCCCAUGAGCAGGCUGAAGUAUAGGUAAAACUGUAUGGAGGGCCGAACCAAUUGGAGCUGCAAGUCCUUUGGAUGACUUGUGGGAAGGAGUGAAAAGCUAAUCGAACCCAGAGAUAGCUGGUUCUCCGCGAAAUAGCUUUAGGGCUAGCCUUGGUGAACUAUUAUAUAGGGGUAGAGCUCUGAUUGGGCUAGCGGGCUUCACGGCUUAGUCAACCCAGACAAACUUCGAAUACUAUAUAAAUUACAUCAGGAGUCAGACGGUGAGAGAUAAGUCCCAUCGUCAAAAGGGAAACAGCCCAGAUUACUAUCUAAGGUCCCUAAUUAACAACUAAGUGGCAAAGGAUGUGGGGUUGCUGAGACAACCAGGAGGUUGGCUUAGAAGCAGCCAUUCCUUAAAAGAGUGCGUAAUAGCUCACUGGUCAAGCGACCCUGCGCCGAAAAUACAACGGGGCUCAAGUUGUUAACCGAAGAUGUAAAAUCGUAAGAUUGGUAGCGGAGCGUUCUGUAAGCCGCAGAAGGUGAGGGGUAACCCGAGCUGGAGGUAUCAGAAGCGAAAAUGUUGGUAUGAGUAACGAGAGGGAAAUGAAAACAUUCCCCAUCGGAAACCCAAGGUUUCCUACGCAACGGCAGUCGUCGUAGGGUUAGUCGGUCCUAAGGUGAAGCUGAAAGGCAAAGCUGAUGGAUACCAGGUUAAUAUUCCUGGACUACUUAUAUAACUGAAGGGGGGACAUAUUUGGAUAUAAGAGAUACUUAAUUACUUGUAUUACGAAAGCGAAACUAGGGAUAUAGGCAAAUCCGUAUUCCUAUUAAAGUUGAGCUAAGUUAAGUUGAUGGAAGCCAUUAUUGGUGGAAAGAUUCUGCUCUUACUAUAUUCAGGUAUCGAGAAAAGCCUCUAAGGGUUAAUUGUAUAAGUAACCGUACCGCAAUCAAACACAUGUGGGUUGGUGGAGAACACCAAGAUGAACGAGAAAACUAUGCUUAAGGAACUCGGCAAAACAGCGGUCGUAACUUCGGGAUAAGACCUGCCUAGAGUGUAAUUUACAAACUAGGCCGCAGCGAAAGAACUCAGGCGACUGUUUACCAAAAACACAGCUCUCUGCAAACUCGUAAGAGGAAGUAUAGGGGGUGAUGCCUGCCCAGUGUCAGAAGGUUACAUGGAUGUGUGAGAGCAUUGAAAUCAAGCCCUGAUGAACGGCGGCCGUAACUAUAACGGUCCUAAGGUAGCGAAAUUCCUUGUCGGGUAAGUUCCGACCCGCACGAAUGGCAUAACGGUCUGAGUACUGUCUCAAGCAUAGACUCGGUGAAAUUGCAAUUACGGUAAAAAUGCCGUAUACUCGCAGCAAGACGGAAAGACCCUAUGGAGCUUUACUAUAGCUUGGUAUUGGGUUAUGGUUUAAGAUGUGCAGGAUAGGUGGGAGACGAAGAAGUGGGAACGCAAGUUCUUAUGGAGUCACUGUUGAGAUACCACCCUUCUUAAAACGUAACUCUAACUCUAGAAGAGGACAGUGCUUGGUGGGUAGUUUAACUGGGGCGGUUGCCUCCUAAAGAGUAACGGAGGCGCACAAAGGUUGACUAUCUCCGGAUGGAAAUCGGAGAGAUAGUGUAUUCGCAAAAGUCAGCCUGACUGAGAGACUAACAAGUCGAGCAGAUACGAAAGUAGGUGAAAAUGAUCCGGCAUUAACAAGUGGAAGUGAUGUCGCUCAACGGAUAAAAGUUACCCUAGGGAUAACAGGCUGAUCGCGUCCAAGAGUUCAUAUCGACGACGCGGUUUGGCACCUCGAUGUCGGCUCGUCGCAUCCUGGGGCUG